CAUUCGAGGUAUAGUAAGGUCUUGUGGGCCUGGAGAAUGUUAUUAGAGACCGGUCCUAAGGGGGCGUCAAAGCUUACCAAGGGAUAUCAAACUCCGAAUGCCGCGUAGAUGAUGUAUGGGAGUCAGACUGCACGAGAUAAGUUGGGCAGUCAAAAGGGAAAGAGCCCAGACCUACAGCUAAGGUCCCAAAGUGUGUGUUAAGUGGAAAAGGAUGUGGGAUUUCAAAGACAACUAGGAUGUUGGCUCAGAAGCAGCCACACAUUCAAAGAGUGCGUAAUAGCUCACUAGUCGAGAGGUCCUGCGCCGAAAAUGUCCGGGGCUGAAACACAACACCGAAGCUUAGGAAUGUCGUAAGACAUUGGUAGAGGAGCAUUCUCAGGACGGAGAAGCGGUACCGGUAAGGAGCCGUGGAGUGCUGAGAAGAGAGAAUGCCGGAAUGAGUAGCGAGAUGGAGGUGGGAAUCCUCCAGGCCGAAUAUCCAAGGUUUCCAGAGUAAAGCUGAUCUGCUCUGGGUAAGUCGGGGCCUAAGGCGAGGCUGAGAGGCGUAGUCGAUGGACAACAGGUUGAAAUUCCUGUACCGUGUAUCAUCAGAACUGUGGGGACACAGAAGGACAGCACAUCCCGGGAAUGGGAAUACCGGGGCAAGCGUGGUAGGAGUACGGCUGGCAAAACCGCCGUGCAAUCCGAAUACGUGACGCGGAGCGAACAAAAGUAGCGAAGUGUGUGAUUCCGGCUGUCAAGAAAAGCCGCUAUUGUGUGAUACAUGCCCGUACCGUAAACCGACACAGGUAGAUGAGGAGAGAAUCCUAAGGCCGGCGGGAGAAGCAUUGUUAAGGAACUCGGCAAAAUGACCCCGUAACUUCGGGAGAAGGGGUGCCGCAGAGAUGUGGCCGCAGAGAAUAGGCUCAAGCAACUGUUUAGCAAAAACACAGGUCUAUGCAAAACCGUAAGGUGAGGUAUAUGGGCUGACGCCUGCCCGGUGCUGGAAGGUUAAGAGGAGAGGUCAGCGGAAACGCGAAGCUUUGAAUUUAAGCCCCAGUAAACGGCGGCCGUAACUAUAACGGUCCUAAGGUAGCGAAAUUCCUUGUCGGGUAAGUUCCGACCCGCACGAAAGGCGUAAUGAUUUGAGCGCC
rnacentral:rRNA from 1 species